rnacentral:rRNA from 1 species
GAUGAACGCUGGCGGCGUGCCUAAUACAUGCAAGUCGAGCGAACGGACGAGAAGCUUGCUUCUCUGACGUUAGCGGCGGACGGGUGAGUAACACGUGGAUAACCUACCUAUAAGACUGGGAUAACUUCGGGAAACCGGAGCUAAUACCGGAUAAUAUUUUGAACCGCAUGGUUCAAAAGUGAAAGACGGUUUUGCUGUCACUUAUAGAUGGAUCCGCGCCGCAUUAGCUAGUUGGUAAGGUAACGGCUUACCAAGGCAACGAUGCAUAGCCGACCUGAGAGGGUGAUCGGCCACACUGGAACUGAGACACGGUCCAGACUCCUACGGGAGGCAGCAGUAGGGAAUCUUCCGCAAUGGGCGAAAGCCUGACGGAGCAACGCCGCGUGAGUGAUGAAGGUCUUCGGAUCGUAAAACUCUGUUAUUAGGGAAGAACAAAUGUGUAAGUAACUAUGCACGUCUUGACGGUACCUAAUCAGAAAGCCACGGCUAACUACGUG